rnacentral:rRNA from 1 species
UACGUAGGAGGCAAGCGUUGUCCGGAGUUACUGGGCGUAAAGCGCACGCAGGCGGUCCCAUUAGUCUGUAGGGACAGGGCACGGCUCAACCGUGUCAGGCUUACGGAACUGUGGGACUUGAGGGCUUCAGAGGGAUGGGGAAUUCCGGGUGGAGUGGUGAAAUGCGUAGAGAUCCGGAAGAACACCAAAGGCGAAGGCACCAUCCUGGGGAGUCACUGACGCUCGGGUGCGAAAGCUAGGGGAGCGAACGGG